rnacentral:misc_RNA from 1 species
CAAUCACGUAUGUAUUCUUUUUCUUCUAUAGUGUUAGGACGCGGACGUAAGUGGCAUUAGCAGCGAAGGCGGUGCUAUGGCCCAUAGCUGGUAUCGCUCUUUUAGGAGCUGCAGCGGCACUAGUAUCAAACCCUAUUCUACUUCAACUAGGAGUUGCUACUGGGAAACGAAGAAAACGUGAAACCGAAGAAA